rnacentral:tRNA from 1 species
GGCGGGAUAGCUCAGUUGGCUAGAGGACACGGGUCAUACCCGUGGUGUCGCUGGUUCAAAUCCAGUUCCCGCUA